CCCCCCAACAAAAAAAAAAGAGCAAGAGCAAAGAAAAAGAAACCCCAUAUCAAAAGGGAAUAAUGGGUUUUUCAAUGAAAUUAUCAUUGGUCCUCUUCUUUACUUGCUCUCUCUUGGUUCAGAAAACAUUAGCGGAUGUGGUUUGUGAGAAUUUGCCCACAAACUUGUGUUCUUUUGCGGUUGCAUCAUCUGGGAAGAGGUGUGUGUUGGAGAUUUGCAAAAAUGCACAAGGAAAAAAGUGUAAGACAUCAGAGGUUGUGGUGGAGAAAUUAUCUGGAUACAUUGAGACAGAUCAGUGUGUGAAUUCGUGCGGUGUUUGCCGUGAAUCCGUCGGACUAUCCUC